AAGGCUGUUUCUGUCUGAUUCUCUGAAGGAGGCUCUUUGGCUGAAAGGAAGUACAAAGAGAAGUAGCUUAAGAGACAUCUAUUGACAAGCAAAAUGAUUUUCUGUCAGUGGUCACAUUUCAUCUGAACCAUUUCAACAUUUCAUCUGAACCUGCUGAUGAUAACCAGAAGGAGAAAUAAGGCAUAUUCUGAGCUGUGUGACCAAUUUUCUAGAGGACAGAAAUGCAGUAGAUCUAAUCUACCUGUGAUACAAUUCCACAUGGGAAAUGAUCAGUUAAAUUGGAGAAGACAGAGAUUAAUAGGAGAAUCAAAAGGGAAGGUGUCUGCUCACGAAGCUGUGCAAUGACUGUCUUCAUCCUGCAGCCUCAGCUCAGCACCCCACAGAGACCUGCAGCAGAGCUUUCCCCAGAAGCUGAAAAUGGGGGCAAGACAGAAGAACCCACAUAACUCCUAAAAGGCCUACCCAGAACUCCAUCAACCACCAAUCUAUUAUUCUCACCCUAUACCAGCAUCCGCUACCCAGAAACAGAAACAGCAUAGUUUCUUGCCAGAACCUUAAUUCAGUGAUCCAUCCCGCAUACAAAAGAUUGCGUGAUUAGGACUGUGGCCAGAGGUGCCGGAACAGGGGGAGGGCAGGGGGCCAUGCCCCCAUCACAUUUUUACCAGCCAUAAGG